GACGAACGCUGGCGGCGUGCUUAACACAUGCAAGUCGAACGGAAAGGCCCUGCUUUUGUGGGGUGCUCGAGUGGCGAACGGGUGAGUAACACGUGAGUAACCUGCCCUUGACUUUGUGAUAACUUCAGGAAACUGGGGCUAAUACCGGAUAGGAGCUCCUGCUGCAUGGUGGUGGUUGGAAAGUUUCGGCGGUUGGGGCUGGACUCGCGGCUUAUCAGCUUGUUGGUGAGGUAGUGGCUUACCAAGGCUUUGACGGGUAGCCGGCCUGAGAGGGUGAACGGCCACCUUGGGACUGAGAUACGGCGCAGACUCCUACGGGAGGCAGCAGUCGGGAAUAUUGCACAACGGGCGGAAGCCUGAUGCAGCAACGUCGCGUGCGGGAUGACGGCCUUCGGGUUGUAAACCGCUUUCGACUGUGCCGAAGCGUGCGUGACGGUACUGGGUCAAGAAGCACCGGCUAACUACGUG
rnacentral:rRNA from 1 species